rnacentral:rRNA from 1 species
GAGUUUGAUCCUGGCUCAGGAUGAACGCUAGCGGGAGGCUUAACACAUGCAAGUCGAGGGGCAGCACGGGUAGCAAUACCUGGUGGCGACCGGCAGACGGGUGAGUAACGCGUAUGUAACCUACCCUGUACAGGGGGAUAACCCGGAGAAAUUCGGAUUAAUAUCCCAUAGAAAUAUUGGAAGGCAUCUUUUGAUAUUUAAAGUUCCGGCGGUACGGGAUGGGCAUGCGUAACAUUAGCUAGUUGGUAAGGUAACGGCUUACCAAGGCUUUGAUGUUUAGGGGUCCUGAGAGGGUGGUCCCCCACACUGGUACUGAGACACGGACCAGACUCCUACGGGAGGCAGCAGUGAGGAAUAUUGGUCAAUGGGCGCAAGCCUGAACCAGCCAUCCCGCGUGUAGGAAGACGGCCCUAUGG